GUGCCAGCAGCCGCGGUAAGACGUAGGGGGCGAGCGUUGUCCGGAUUUAUUGGGCGUAAAGCGCGCGUAGGCGGUUCGUUAAGUCGGGUGUGAAAACCCGGGGCUCAACCCCGGGCCUGCAUCCGAUACUGGCGGACUCGAGGCAGACAGGGGAGAGUGGAAUUCCCGGUGUAGCGGUGAAAUGCGCAGAUAUCGGGAGGAACACCGGUGGCGAAGGCGGCUCUCUGGGUCUGUCCUGACGCUCAGGCGCGAAAGCUAGGGGAGCAAACAGGAUUAGAAACCCCGGUAGUCC
rnacentral:rRNA from 1 species